rnacentral:rRNA from 1 species
UACGUAGGGUACAAGCAUUAAUCGGAAUGAUUGGGCGUAAAGGGCGCGUAGGCGGCCCAGUAAGUCAGAUGUGAAAUUCCAAAGCUCAACUUUGGAGCUGCAUUUGAAACUGUUGGGCUAAAGAGGUAAGACGGAGAAAGCGGAAUUCCACGUGUAGCGGUGAAAUGCGUAGAUAUGUGGAGGAACACCUGUGGCGAAAGCGGCUUUCUAGUUUUAACCUGACGCUGAGGCGCGAGAGCAAGGGGAGCAAACAGG